rnacentral:lncRNA from 1 species
UCUCUUUGUGCCUCAGAGUGAGAGGAUCUGGAGGAAGGCGAGACUCCUCUGUAUCUGUGCCCUCUCCUCCUUGUCACACGUGGAGAGUGUGGGGGACCAGAUGACCGGCAAAAUAAAAUAACUCGGGAGCAAUUCAAAGGUGAAACGGCCCCAUUUUGAGGCACAGCACCCCAGCAGUCAGUGUUCACAGAGGAGGACAUGUUCGAGGAAAUGUGUUUCAGGACAUGCUGAACUGGUUCAUUCCAUCUCUAUGAUUCCAUGGGGAGCUGCCCACUGUGGACAGGACCAUGUGGUAAGAAUGAAUUCAGCUGGAGGAAACCUUGUAACAGCGGUUCACACAGCAGCAGCUCCAGCUCCAGGAACCACAACAGGGAGCAAAAGUGACAUCCACACAUUCUAAUCGCUCCACAGUCUAGGGACCAGGGCAAAAGAGAGGAAUCAGGAAAAACCCAAGCUGUAUAAAUAUAGGUGGGGGAAUGACGGGUUAUGCCUAAGAAUAGAAAAAGAAAAACCCUCAGGGUCAGAGGAGGUGCUGAGCUGAGGGUAGCUUCAACGAAACUGUCUGGGGCAGAGUGCCAUGCUGGUUUCCACUCGCUGGCUUAGAAGAAGAGAGCUUUGACAGAAUUUACUGUGCCAUGUCCUUCCUCCAUUCGCAGCUUCUAAAUGAUUAAUGGAAGGCCAUAAGGAUGAGGGGAGACUCCAGAGGGAAGUGUUCAAAACGAUUACCUGCUUGGAAGAAAAGAAGCAGCCGGGAGGGGCUUUAAGAGAAUCAUUUAGCUUCUUCACCUGAGGGUAGGAGAGCCAAAUAGUCACCUAGAGGAAGAUGAGUUAGGAACCCUGUGAAACUGUGCCCUGAAGGGUCACUGGGAGAGGUGCUUCAAAACAACCGAUGAGACUCGCUGAGAUGCGGAAGGAUGGCUGCGCCCUCUGCCCGGGGCGGGAGUCACUGGAGCUGGGCUUGUGGGCAGCCGUCCUGCCUGCCUGCUGUUUGAUUUUAAUUCUCAUGCAUCCUGUACUUAAGCAGUACCUGAACUUCUCUGCUGUUCAAUUCCUCUGCAUGUUUGACAAUUUCUCUGACACCUCCUUGAUGGGGGACUCCAUGCUAAAUGUUGAGGUGGCUGGAAAGAAAGGCUGUAAACCAGGCGCCGUGCCCUACAGCAGCUUGCAGUUCCAUUCUGCUCUUGCCCUAUUAUUAUUACGUUUUUUUGCAAAACUGUUAUUCCAAAAGGCCAGCUGGGUCUAAAUAACCCAGGCAAAGUAGUCAGAGUGGGAUGGGGAAAGUUGUUCUGUUCACCUGGAUGAUCUUGUGAUAUUCAUAAAAACAUUGUUUACAUGGUUAGUUUCACAAGAGUGUUUCAAAACUAACUAACCGAAUGAAGAAGGC